UGCAAAGGAGGCUGAACAAGAUCGUGAGCCAGAUCCUGACAAGGUGCUUCCAUACGAUUCCCGUCUAAGUGUACCUCAUGCAGCCAUAUCGGGAAUUAUGGGUAAGGGUACCUCAUGCAGCAAUAUCUGGAAUUAUGGGUAAUUUUGUUGUAUACAUUAACGUUAUCGUUAUCGUUACCGUUUCAGAUUAGAAUCAGCGUGUCCAUGUACUUGUCAAUCGUUUUUCUUUUCACUUUUGUCAUAUGAUAUACAUAUUUUUUAUAAUUUCUUUUGUGGUAUGCGUAUCAUAUGAUGCCACUGUGUUCUAUUUAAAACUAACUCCUCUAAUAGGCCAUUUAGGUUUUAACCAUUCCUAAUGGUUUUCUUAGUCUUCCUCUCACUCUAACUAUGGGGCUAUCCUCUGUAUGGUGAACUCUUCAGAUGGUGUGUUUCCACCGUGUUUUCGAAAACCGGAGCCACUCCUACAAUCCCUCUAGGAUUAUAGCUUAUAGCUUAUUGUUAGGUAGACAGUUUAUGGCAAUUAUAUUAAUCUUAUUUUGGUUUUGUUAAUGGUUUGUAUGUGGUUACAUUAAU
rnacentral:lncRNA from 1 species